GAGAGAGAGAGAGAGAGAGAGGGGCGGGGAGAGUUCUCAGCGCUCACGGGGGGAAAAACAGUGGGCUACUUUUGGAUAUCGAGGGGAACCUGGCGUACCAAAACGGUUCUCCAUUUUCGGUAUCAGCCUCACAAACAAAAUUCAAGCUACACAAAUUGGACGACGUGUUUGUUUUUUUACGAUCGGUGAGAGCUCAGAAGGAGCAGGCACUAACAGAUAAUCCCGGAAACAACUGAGGUCUACACCACGCCGGUCACGUACGCAACUGUAGCUUUGCGUUACUGAUAGAAACCUCAAGUUUGACGAUCAAUUCAUCUUGUAAUUUAAAGACGAACAAGUAACAAUGUAAUACUAUAUUAAGGAUGACAGACGGGCGACGCAAGAGAUAAUUCUUUUCAAAAUGAAACUUUGCGAUGCUGUGACUACGCGCCUCUCUCUCACAGACAGCAGUUGGGCUGCACACACUCUCUCGUGCAGUGGCCCUGGUAGAGAAUGAGGCGAGGACGUGAGCUACGUGCGCACCCAGCCCCCGACGAUAUGAGAUGGAGAGCUUGGAACAGUCGGACCUUUUAAAUCCCAUCACUGUCCACGGAGCUGUUAGUAUUGUCGCCGCGCAGCAGAGAGAGACUAGCGGACUCGUUCUCGGAACAGCAGAUCCUCACGUUUUCCAGGCCAACAUGGGACUUAACGGUUACUGCACGGCUCCGCUGGGGAGCAGCACGGCCCAGGAGUUAUUGGCGGGUCUGGCCUCUCAAACCGUUUACCCCGGGGUCGAUGUUCUUAAGAAGCAGUCAAAAGCCGGGCUGCUGCCUUUUAACGGCGUCUCUCCCUCUGCCACGGUGGAAGGAAGUGGCAGCAGGGUUUUGCUGCAAACGCCCAAAGGCUACCACGCGCAGGUGAAGGGGGAGUCAGAAACGCCGAAAGGACUAACUCAGCCGCAAAGCAGCAGAGCGCGGUUCGCGGGGAACGGGGACCAAGCACCGCAUGAGAUAUGCACGCUCCUGAUGAAGAGGGCCAGCAGUGACCAACGGAUAAGACAGCUCCAGAAACGGAAAGGUGGGGAGAACCAGGACUUCCUGUCGGCAUUUGAGGUCAAUUGGAGUGUAGGGUCGUUGGGGUCAACAACAAGGGCGGGGUCAGAUUCUGAGGAGUUGUCCCAGGACUUCAAGCGUAGACGGCUAGCAGAAGGAGGUAAGCAGUGCGUCCUAGAAACUGCCAAAGCAACCAAGGCGGCCAUAGCGCCACUCAGCUUAAACGACAACGGCAUUAACCACAGCAACCAUAAUUGCCAAAACCGUGACACGUCCCCCCAGCCAUCCUCCCUCACCGCCACUUCCCCUUGCACCAAACCCUACCCCAACGGACACAGAGCGACACCGGUAAGCCCCGCCACCCUACCGGCACAGACGUCCCCUGUGAAGGCUAACGGUAUCCUGGCCCUGCCAUCACCGGCUGGCCCUGGCUGGUCUGCAGAUUGCGUGGCGCAGCAGUACAUCGUGUCCUGCAUGAAGUACUACGGAAUCUGCGUCAAAGACCACUUCCUGGGGGAGAGGCUUGGUGAGCGCGUGCUGCAGGAAGUUGAGAUUCUGAACAGCAGCGGAAAGUUUUGCGGGGGCCAGCUGGUCAGCCAGAGGAGCAUCCCGUCUCGGAACAUCCGUGGAGACCAGAUCGCCUGGGUGGAGGGCUGUGAGCCAGGGUGCGGCGCCAUCGGGGUGUUGAUGGCGCACAUUGAUGAGGCGGUCAUGCGCAGUGCUGCCAACGGGCAGCUGGGGGACUGUGUCAUCAACGGGCGCACCAAGGCCAUGGUUGCGUGUUACCCUGGCAACGGCACAGGUUAUGUCCGCCACGUGGACAAUCCUAACGGAGACGGGCGCUGCAUCACCUGUAUAUACUACCUGAACAAGGGCUGGGAUGUCAAGGUUCACGGAGGCCUGCUCCAGAUAUACCCAGAAGGUAAAAGUGUGGUCGCCAACAUCGAACCGCUGUUUGACCGUCUGCUCAUCUUCUGGUCUGACCGCAGAAACCCACACGAAGUCAAGCCAGCCUUCUCCACCCGGUGAGGCACGGAGCUGUCAAGGCUGGUCGUGGAGGUGUCUAGGAGAGGUGCUAUGCCAUCACAGUUUGGUACUUUGAUGCCAAGGAGCGGGCAGACGCCAAGGAGAAGUAUCGUCUGGCAACUGGUCAGAAGGGUGUUCAAGUGCCUGUCACUCAAAGCAACCAGACUUAAAUCUCAGCCAAUCCCUGAAGUGCGUUGUGAACGUGCCUGCGCCUGCUGCUAUUGGACGGCUGUUUUUAAAAAGGGAGACAGUUUAACCCGCUUGCUGUGUCCACACUGGAUCCUCCACAGCUUAGCUGUGUGGAUGUAUUCCGCUGCAUCUCAUUGGACAGUCGAGUGAAUAAGGGCGGAGACAACACAGUGUAUCGGUCAGGGUGGUGACAGAAGGAAGCGGGGCCAAGAGAAACUCAGGUGGUGUCUUGACAGAAGAUGAUGAAGAUGAUGAAGUCAGAGAACACUAACUGAACAGACUAUCAUUUGCUGUUGAUGUUUGGGUGGCUUGUUAAUAUUCAGCUGUGUUCUAAUGUAAUGAACUAACAACAUCUGUCUGUGAGCAGACAGAUGUUGCAACCGCAGUAGCAGGUUGUCUGUCCUUCAAUCAGGAACUACAUCUCAGUGGCUCGGAACCAAGACCUCAGGAUAGGCUCAGAUUUAGGCACACCCCCUCCCAUCAGGGCACAUCCUAAGAGGAAGUGGCAUCAUAGUAAGUUAGUUAUAACAUAUCCUAUAUUGCUUUUCCACUCCAUGGUACUGGCUCGAAUCGACUAUACUUGCCUCUUUUGAUUUUCUGCCGGGCAAACCUGGUAGCUAGUACCUGGUACUUUUUCUUGGUAUCACCUCCAUUGAGGUUCCAGGUGAGCUGAGGUGAAUUUUGUGCGACGUCGCUAUGAUUACCAGUGGGGGUAUUAUCUGCAGUUGAAAACGAGGUAGACAGACCUACCUAGUACCUACCUACCAAAAGCGAGUCAAGUCAAGACGGUACCAUGCGUUGGAAAAGUGGCUCUAGUUUGCAAUAGACUUUUAAAACCGCUUCUGAGUCUGAAACCAGAGAUGAGAUCAGAACCCAACAGCAGAGAGAAGAAGAGGAAGGUGCUUGUUCUAGAACAUCCAGGUUCUGGGUAAAAAAAAGCGCCAGUUCUACAACUGAAAACUGCUGAAUUCUCGUCCACUGUAGAGCUGGGUUGGUGGGGCCAGGUGAUGGGCAGGUUCAAACUAGCACCGUGGCCAAUCAGUCGUCAACUGUUGGUUCUUUCGUCAGCUCUGAGGUAACAUGACUGAGACAGCAUGUUGUGACUUUAUACUUAAACAUAUAAAGUCACAAGCACAGACUGUAGCAGCCUGGAAAGACUGACUUGCUUAGAGUGUAUGUGUGUGUCUCUGGUCCUCUCAUCUUAGUAUGUGUGUGUGUAGGUGUAGAACUGGUAGAGAAAUACUAAGAAAAAAGCACUUUAUGGAUUGCCAUGCCAUGCUAGAAACAAACUGCAUUGAGGUAGACAGGCUUGUAUGCUGUACAUGACAUGGUUCCUCAGACACAAUAGCAACUCAAAUAAUGACAAUAAACAAUCAAAAGUUUGCCUAAUUUUGUCUCUGAACCUUUGCAGUAUUUAAUUAAAAACCUUUCUGUUUUUGUACAAA